rnacentral:rRNA from 1 species
GUCUAUGUCCAUGCUAGCCUGAACAAGCCUGAUGUCUGAUCUUAAGCUAAGCAGGGUCAGGCCUAGUUAGUAAAAUGGAUGGGAGACCACCUAGGAAGACCAGGUGCUAUAGGCA